UCUCCUGUAGUUCAAUUGGUAGAACACUGCACUGUUAAUGCAGAUGUUGUAGGUUCGAGCCCUACCGGGAGAG
rnacentral:tRNA from 1 species